AGAGUUUGAUCCUGGCUCAGGAUGAACGCUAGCUACAGGCUUAACACAUGCAAGUCGAGGGGAAACGAUAGAGAAAGCUUGCUUUUUCUAGGCGUCGACCGGCGCACGGGUGAGUAACGCGUAUCCAACCUGCCCACCACUUGGGAAUAACCUUGCGAAAGUAAGACUAAUACCCAAUGAUAUCCCACGAAGGCAUCCGAAUGGGAUUAAAGAUUUAUCGGUGAUGGAUGGGGAUGCGUCUGAUUAGCUUGUUGGCGGGGUAACGGCCCACCAAGGCGACGAUCAGUAGGGGUUCUGAGAGGAAGGUCCCCCACAUUGGAACUGAGACACGGUCCAAACUCCUACGGGAGGCAGCAGUGAGGAAUAUUGGUCAAUGGGCGGAAGCCUGAACCAGCCAAGUAGCGUGAAGGACGACUGCCCUAUGGGUUGUAAACUUCUUUUAUGCGGGGAUAAAGUUCGCCACGUGUGGCGUUUUGCAGGUACCGCAUGAAUAAGGACCGGCUAAUUCCGUGCCAGCAGCCGCGGUAAUACGGAAGGUCCAGGCGUUAUCCGGAUUCAUUGGGUUUAAAGGGAGCGUAGGCCGCCUUUUAAGCGUGUUGUGAAAUGUAGGGGCUCAACCCCUGCACUGCAGCGCGAACUGGAGGGCUUGAGUACACACAAAGUAGGCGGAAUUCAUGGUGUAGCGGUGAAAUGCUUAGAUAUCAUGAAGAACCCCGAUUGCGAAGGCAGCUUACUGGAGUGUAACUGACGCUGAAGCUCGAAAGCGCGGGUAUCGAACAGGAUUAGAUACCCUGGUAGUCCGCGCGGUAAACGAUGGAUGCCCGCUGUUUGCCAUUUUGGUAAGCGGCCAAGCGAAAGCGUUAAGCAUCCCACCUGGGGAGUACGCCGGCAACGGUGAAACUCAAAGGAAUUGACGGGGGCCCGCACAAGCGGAGGAACAUGUGGUUUAA
rnacentral:rRNA from 1 species